AUGUACGUGGAUCCUCUUCAGUGUGGCCUAUCAGCUAUGGCAAGGAUCCGUGUGGUCAGACGGGAGGAUUAUGGUUCAGAAAAUGGAGGUAUUCAGAUCUCGGGUGUAGGAGUACCAAGGGAAUUUGUGAGAAACAGAGAUGGUCCACCAGCGGUCGUGGUGAUCCUUCAGUAUCUAUGUGUUCCUUGUUUUGAAUUUGUUUUGUGUGAAUUAGCCAUUCUGUGGGUUUGGCAAAAAGGGAAGGCGUCAUUAUGUGCUUAUAUGCUAGUAGCAUUGUUCGACUCAAGACAACAUUUACAUAUCCGUUUCAUCUCUUAUUGUGCAUUAAUACACGUAACCAUGUCAGUCAUUCACUUGAUUUCAUGA
rnacentral:rRNA from 1 species